rnacentral:rRNA from 1 species
AUCGUCUUUCUGAUCGCUGCAAUAUAGUGCGACGCACCGUUCAAAUUUCUGACCUAUCAACUUUAGAUGGUAAGGUAGUGUCUUACCAUGGUGGCAACGGGUAACGGACCGUGGGUGCGGGACUCCGGAGAGGGAGCUGAGAAACGGCUACCACAUCCAAGGAAGGCAGCAGGCGCGCAAAUUACCCAAUUCAAAAACUGAGAGGUAGUGACAAGAAAUAUCAAUAGGGAAUCCUUAGGGUUUUCUAAUUGGAAUGAGAACAAGCUAAACAGCUUAUCGAGAAUCCAGCAGAGGGCAAGUCUGGUGCCAGCAGCCGCGGUAAUUCCAGCUCUGUAAGCGUAUACCAAAGUUGUUGCAGUUAAAACGCUCGUAGUCGGAAGUGGGCGAUAUCGGAGUGAGUGUGUGCGUUUAGUGUGCGCAUUCGCCGGUAUGGCCUUUGUGCAAAUGUGUGUGAGAUGAAGCGCAUUAAUUUGUGAACGUCUUAUCGCGCGUGCACUGUUUACUGUGAAAAAAUCAGAGUGCUCAAAGCAGGAAAUUUGUUUUCUUGAAUGUAUUAGCAUGGAAUAAUAGAAUAGGACUUGGUCUUAUUUUGUUGGUUGUUGUUAGGGCUGAGUAAUGAUUAAAAGGGACAGUUGGGGGCAUUUGUAUUCCUGCGCUAGAGGUGAAAUUCUUAGAUUGCUGGAAGACAAACAGCUGCGAAAGCGUCUGCCAAGGAUGUUUUCAUUGAUCAAGAACGAAAGUAAGGGGAUCGAAGACGAUCAGAUACCGUCGUAGUCUUUACUAUAAACGAUGAGGACUGGGGAUCGGAUGAGGUACUAUGAUGACCCAUUCGGCACCCUUCGAGAAAUCAAAGUGUUUGCUUUCUGGGGGGAGUAUGGUCGCAAGGCUGAAACUUAAAGGAAUUGACGGAAGGGCAUCACCGGGUGUGGAGCCUGCGGCUUAAUUUGACUCAACACGGGAAAACUUACCAGGUCAGGACAUAGUGAGGAUGAC